rnacentral:SRP_RNA from 1 species
UAUCGGUUCCCUCGCAAUGCUAGGUUGUGAACUCCGCCAGGCCUGGAAGGGAGCAACGGUAGCUACUGAUGCGUGUGCCGAGGUGCAGCUGGUGGGG